rnacentral:rRNA from 1 species
CGCCUGUUUAUCAAAAACAUCGCCUCUUGCAAAAACAAUGAAUAAGAGGUCCCGCCUGCCCUGUGACUAUACGUUUAACGGCCGCGGUAUUUUGACCGUGCAAAGGUAGCGCAAUCACUUGUCCUUUAAAUGGGGACCUGUAUGAAUGGCACGACGAGGGCUUAGCUGUCUCCUUUUUCAGGUCAGUGAAAUUGAUCCCCCCGUGCAGAAGCGGGGAUAAAAACAUAAGACGAGAAGACCCUAUGGAGCUUUAGACACAAAACAGAUCAUGUCAAACACCCUUAAAUAAAAGAACAAACUAAAUGAGCCCUGUUCAAAUGUCUUUGGUUGGGGCGACCGCGGGGUAAUAAAAAACCCCCAUGUGGAAUAAAAACACUCUUUUUAAAACCAAGAGCUACUGCUCUAAUAAACAGAACAUCUGACCAGCUAUGAUCCGGCCAAGCCGAUCAACGAACCGAGUUACCCUAGGGAUAACAGCGCAAUCCUCUUUUAGAGUCCAUAUCGACAAGAGGGUUUACGACCUCGAUGUUGGAUCAGGACAUCCUAAUGGUGCAGCCGCUAUUAAGGGUUCGUUUGUUCAACGAUUAAAGUCCUACGUGAUCUGAGUUCAGACCGG